UCUCGAUGAAGAACGCGCAGCGAAAUGCGAUACGUAAUGCGAAUUGCAAGACCUCGUGAAUCAUUAAAAUUUUGAACGCACAUUGCGCUUUCGGGAUUUUCCCGGGAGCAUACUUGUCUGA
rnacentral:rRNA from 1 species